UUCACUUUCGCUUGCUGCCGGGAGAGGAGUGGGUGUGCUUUCCAAGCCAGGUGCCUUCAUCAAGGAUUAUAAAAACCCAUUUGAACUGGGAUGGGACUCUAUUUAGCCUCAAGCACAUGAACCAUGAGCACUACAAAAGAAGAACAAAGAGUUGCUAUAGUGGCCGUGAUGCAACUAGAAUACAUCCAAGGGAUUAAACAUGGCUUCAAAGAUCUAGAAGACUUACUCCCAGCAGAUGAGGAAUUUAGAUACAGCCAUGGACAAUUACACUUUUCAUUUCUAUAAGGUUACUGUUUAGCCCAGCGUUUAAUAUGAAAAGAUGGUAACACUACUAAGAGUACAACAUUACUGUAUUUUUAUGUCAACUGCGGCUGUUUUCUUAGUCUUCAUAUUACAACCAGAGCCCACUGAUAUUGUUCAGAAUUCAUUUUCAUCGUCUUAUAUACAUUUGCUGUAGUAUCAACUGCUCAAGAGACUCAUCUGCCUGCCAGUAAUUCUGGGCAUACCUCUCAGGUGGGACACUAAUGAAAGUGAAAAUGAAAUAGUUCAGUGAUGAUAUAAAAGAGCAAGAUAGAGUCAACGGUGAAAACAGAGGCAGAAAGACAGGAGUGCUCAUCCUGAAUUCAAAAUGAAGUCAACCUUAAUUUUAGUUUCUAAAAGCUUAUGCUUCAUACUUGAAGUUUUACUUAACGUUAGCUUGAACAGUUCAAAUUUAAUUUCCAUCUUGAUUUAUGUAAGUAUGAGAACUGAAUUCAUGCUAUGAUUAAGCAAUUGUGAUUUUUAUUGUUGUUGUUCAUUCAGGACAUCCUAAAAACAUUAGAACUCAAGAAUGUACCCAAUAUGUGUGUUCUUAUUUCAAGUCAGAAUAAUAAAAUGGCUAAAAAAUGUUCAAUAUCUAUUUAGCAGAGUACACAUACCAAUGCUUAUACGCCAUAUGUGCUAUGUAUUUAUGAUAGCUAUAGAUUUACAAUAUGUAUAAAGAAUGGUGUGUACAUUCUAUAUAUAUGAGCCAUAUGUAUUUGAUAUAUAUGGAAAGUAUACAGGGACAAAAUAAAUUGCUAAUGAUUGCAUUUUAAUGGAUUAUUUCAGAGUUCUCAUAUUAGAAUGACAGACUAGAAUGUUUGAGUGAAAGAACAGAAAACAUUAAGAAACAGUUCUCUGAGAAGCCAUAUUGAAAAUAUGGAUGUAUAUAUUUUUACACCACAUAUGUGUAUGAAGUUCAGUACCUUAUUGAGAAAGAAAGAAAUUAUAGUAAUUCUUCUGUUGUUAUUGAAUACCAAUUAUUUAAGGCUAGUGAUGCCUUAAAAGAAUAAAUUGCAUUGUAUGGAAAUCUCCACUGUCCCGGAGGGACAGUGCAGGAUAGAUAUAAUUCUAAAAGCUUUCUUAAACUGCAAUAUACAGCAUCAAUUUUGUUCUAGGCACUUUUUAGAGUCUUGCAGGAAAUUCCACUCUAAGAGAUUGCAUCCUAUUCCUAUACUCUCUCCACCCACUUUGCUUCUCUGUGUUUUUUGUCUUUAAAAUGUUAACUUCUUAGCAUACAUAUAUCCCAAACUACUUACUGUUAAGUUAAACUGUACACUACUUUAUUCAUGUAAAGCAAAAUAGACACUACAACUUCCAUAGUUGAAUUCAGCCUGUGUUAAUUAAUCUGCUCUGAAGUACAGCUGGUCUGAGCUGGAUUGCUUUCAGCUACCUAAACAAAUCUAAGUCCUGUAUCUCUAUAAUAAAGACAGUCUCCAGUACGGACAUAUUUAAAUAUAUAAGGCUAUGCUUGUGAGCAACCCAAAUGAGUUAUAAUCACUCUUAGUGAAAAUAAUGUGAUUAAGCUUAGUAAUAAAAUCCAAAUUUUACUAAUCACAAUUAUAAGCAUGCAGUCUAAAUACUGCUCCACUAAAACCGAAGUUAGGGUAUAAAUGUAGUUUUAUUUAUCUCUGAAGUAAGAGCUUUUCUGUGCUUUAAACAACUUAUUUGCCUUCAUUGCUAAGUAUUUUCUCUAAUAACAACUUAAUAUCCUUCAGCAUCACAUCUAAUAAAAAAUUCAGUUAGCAUCAAACUACAAGUGUGUGAUGAGUGUUCAUCCAUUUUAAGAAGAAACAGACUUCUGUAUAUUUAAAGCAAUAAUUUUAACACUUGUCAUCUUAUUCCCAAAGGGACUUUUAAUGUUAUGUAAACAUUAACAUUUCCAUUAUUAAAGUUUACGAAUGUAUUUACAAAAAAGAACUGUUGACAUAGAUAUUUCAAAAAGAAAGAAAAGUACAUGUUGCUCAUGACUGAAAAAUUACUUGUUUUCAAGUAAUUUCUGUUAAUAAAUAAAGUUAAGGGAAGGGAAGGGGAAUGGGAAGGAGAAAGAAAAAAUGAAAAAGAAAAAAAAAGAGAAAAGAAAAGAGAAAAAGAGAAGAGAAAAAGAAAAGCUGUUGCAAUCCAGAGACUGACUGGAUUGUAAGGAGGUCAGUUUCUCUAUUAUUCUAAAAUGAUCUUUCAGUCCAGCUCUAUAUAAAUGGAAAAUUCAGCAAAAAUAAAAAAGACUCAGAGAUUCUGUUGCCCAGAUAAACCUCAAAUAUGAAAUCUAUCUGAAGUGGGUAAGACUACAGCAAAAGUAACAUGGAAGGGAAACAUCAGGCCUCCUCCAUGAAAACUGAUGGUGGGUUUUGUGCAGAUGUCUUGACUGACUAUUUUAAGUACAAGUGAAUAUUAAUGUAAGGUUCUGUCUGCCAUCAAAUGGCUUAGCAUCAUUUUUCUUCAUUCUCAGUGCCAUUUUAUUGUUAAUUCAUUUUUAAGAACAGCAUAUUUCUUUAACCUCUCAAAGCUCUUUUCCUCCCUCCUCCGUCAUUCUCCCCAGGAAUGUCUUGCACGUUGAUUUGAUUUAUGCCAAGACAGUGAAUAGUAUUUUAUUCUAAAUGUCAGAUUUACAUGUUAUGUGUACUUAUUCAUAGAUACUUUCAUCUCUCCAUGCUAAAUGGGAUUUUUUUGUACUUCAAAGCUUGGAUAGUUUUCUUAAAAAAAAAAAAAGAAAAAGAAAAAAAAAGGAAAACCAAUUAUCAUAUUCUUAUGCAUAUGAUCAUUGAUAUGACAAGGUUGAAGUUAAAUUUCUUGGAAAUGUGUGGCCAAGGGGGAUCUUAUUUUAAAAUAUAAAUCUCCCUUGUAUAUAUUUUUGAACCAAGUGAGGUCUAGUGUAUCCCUUUUACUUUUGGAGGAGAGAGAGGGGAGAAGAAGGAAGUGGGCAUCUAUUUAUUCUUGCCCAAAGCUUGACUGUGAUAGUAACUGAUAUUUCAAUAACUGACAAAACUUACAAAAGUGUUAAGUAUAUAUGGAAAUCUUGAAAAUAUUAAACUCUUGACUUAUUGGCAUGAACUACCAGCUAGACAGCUGCCUUUCACAUGUAAAUAUCUGACCCUAUAUGGCUUCCAAUUCUGUUUUGGUGCCCAUGAAAUAAUCAUUUUUGGUCAGCAAAAACCUGGAGACAGUCAUAAUAUCAAACAUCUAGUCUAGCCCUAAACCAUUUUAAAAUCUAAUAGAAUUAGCAAGUUCAUUCAGAUAAUAUUCCUAUUGAUAGCUGCAGCUUUUACCGAAGAAUUGGUAGAGGACAUUAGAGAAGCCAAAACUACUGGAUAAAGCGCUUUAAAAGGCAAGAUAUUUCUACAUAAAUUUACCUGAAAUUAACUGAAUUUCCCUAUUCCUUCAUAAAAAUGUACAUUUAUAUAGAGAAAGAGAUAUAUUUUCAAAAUAUUACUGGUUUCCUAUUUAAAAUAAUUAAAUAAUUAACUAAAUAAAACAUUGUCAAAAAGCAUUUUAAACAUAAGAAAACCAACUCAGCUUCUUUAUUGCAAUUGUGGCAACACAGAAGGACACUGGGAAUGACUCCAGUUUUUGUAUUUUUAACUCCUAAAAUUCAUGCUUAUGGCAGACUUAAAGAAGGCACUUUAUCCCUUUGGAUUAGUAUCAGCAAGACAUAUCUGAAAGACUUCAUUAGUAUUAAUAUACUAUGUGGUCAUGCAGCUGGAAAAAAUAAUCACCCAUACUUCCUCAUGCCAUAAGCCUUGUUGGAUGCCCCUGAGUCAUAAGAAAUUUAUGAAGAAUAGAAGUGUUUGGCUGACUACAGGAGAUACUCGAAUAUUUAAUUAUGUGAAGUGCUCAACACAGGAACCAGUACAGCAAAAAUUCAUUGAAAGACAGAACUCAUGUUACUGUUCCUAUUUUUAAUAUACUUUCUCAGCCCAAACUCUUAAAACUCUUAAAACUGUCCCUAGCUCCUCCAGAGGCUGGCUAAUAUUAUUACUCAAUUCAUUUGAACUAAGGAGAAUUUUUCCUAAUCAAACAGCUCUUAAUAGGAUACUGCUCAUUCAUGACAGGAAAAAAAUGUGUCAAUUUAGAAUCUUCACUGAGGUCAUUAGGACUCUAUCCUAAUUUCCCAUUUUAAGCUAUGGCUACUUGGUUAUCCUAAUCCAAAUUGUUUGGGUUUCCACUUCCAAAUUAGACUGUGCCUGAGUGGGCCUCAGAUCCAUAUGUGUCUAUGGCAGACUUCUGCUUUCCAGUGCCUGCAGCUGCACACCAGGCACUGUCUGUUACAGAAUCUCAAAUGACUGGCCAGUCACAUCAUGGCAUCUGAAUCCUUAUUACUGGCUUAAAAGUUUAGUUUACAAUUGGAAUUGAAGUUACUCAAAAUUUAAGAACAUUCUUUUCGACAGAAGCAUUUGUACAUUUUCUUAAUGUUUUUGUCACAAAAUCUAGAGAAUCAUACAAUCCAAGAUAAAAAAUUGUUUUCUUAAUUCAAGAACUUGCUUAAAUGAAAUUUGUCAAAAUUUUCAACAGAAUUUCCCAAUUCACCUGUGCCACUAGGACUACUAAUUUACCACAUGGUAAUAGCAGAAGAGAAAUUCUAGAAUUUCCUGAACGCAAAAACUAGUGAAGCUCAUGUAAGAUUUUUUACACAGAGUAUCUUUUUUAAGAGCAGAAGGGAAUAUAAUAUAUACAUAUGGAGACAAGAAUUUAUUGAUAUUGUUAUUCAAGUUCAUAUUUCAACAAUCUGAUAGUUCAUAUUAUGAAAUAUGGAAAAUUUUCAGUAAUAAUACAGUUAAAAUUAUUUUCUUAAAAAAAAAAAAAAAGUCUUUGCUAGUGUCUACCAGUUUUAUGUGGUAUUAUGCUCACCAUUCCAAUGUCCUUCUAGAUACAAUCAUAGAAUCAUUUAGGUUGGAAAAUAAACCUGAGAUCACCAAGUAAACAGUAAGUUCAAAAUCACUGUAACUAGUAGAGUAUUAGUCCUAAUAUGAUAUUAAUGCAUUUCUGUUUUGACAGUAUUAGUAGCAAAAAGAAAACAUUAUACAACGUGUCCUAUAAAUUUAAAAAAACAAAAAAAAAAGUAUAUUUUUGCAUAAUGUAAUGACACCUGCAUAAUAACUAGAGUAGUUAUUUUACUGGUACUUCCUAAGUAUUAGUUAAAACAUAUUAAAACUAUGUUUGUAAUAUUAAACCCUUUAGUUAUAUUUUCCAAAUAACAUAUGUUGCUCUUAUGCUUUUAAUAGAGACCUGUAGAAUGUUGAAAUAGAAUCUAGUCAUAAAGGGUAAGCUAUCCAUGAUAACUAAGAAUCAAAAUCAGUCCAGCUAUGCACCUCUUUGAAAUUCUUCUCCAUGUUAUAUUAUUAUUUGAAUUGAAAGUAUAGUGAACUACUCACCAUAUCCUACAUUCUCCAAAUUUGUUAGAAUGGACUAAGCCUGGCUUUGAUAAUUACAGAAAAAGCUGAUGUCCUUAUUAGACUGACAAAGGAGUUGUUGAAUAUUUGCUAAAGUACCAAUUAAUUAUCAUGGAAGUUAGAUAUUAUAGUCUGAUGACCUAGUUAAAGAAACAUUAAUUAUAGUCUACUAACCUUGUCACAUGAGGCUAAAAGCUACAGACCUCCUACAGAAAAAAAUAAUAAUAUUCUUCUGCAGUCACACAAAUGUCUGAGGGAUCAACUGUUAAAAUUUCUUCUGGGACUCUCAAGAUAGAAUUCCCAAAUAGGAAAGCAUACAGUUCACAUGAAUGAAUUGAAGGAUAGAGGAUUCAACUGUAAUAUCAAAUGUAUAUUAAUUAACCUUUUAGUAAAAGCCUGCAAAAUGUAAAUUUCCUUAAAAUGUAAACAAGAAUGGGUACAAAAAGUAGCAAAGAGAUCAGUGAACAGCACUCAUUUUCUGGUCUUAUAGAAUUGAAGGACAUUUGAGUCAAUGAGCAAGCUGAAAACUUCAGAGAGUAUACAAGCGGUUACAGAACAUAGCAUGGAACUCUCACAGAGAAGACACAACUGGCAGUGCAAUGGACAGAGUCAGCAUCUGUGACAGAGUACUGAGGCUCCAGCGGCCACAACACUAUCAUCAUGUAUGAGACAGCUACUGAGGCAGAGCACGUCAGUCUGGCUACUUCAGAUGGUCCAUGCCCAUGUGCUUUUCAGAGCCCAUAAUUUUUAGAAGUGCAGGAAGAAAAGAACUCAUCCUUCACUUUUCCUGGGUUUGUGCAAAAGGCUGAGUGAGCACAGUUGCUGCAGGAGUUGCAAUGUGUGCAAUAGUUAUUCUCCUCCACCACCUUUCUUACAUCAAGAAAGAACAUCAAAUAUUUGUGCUAGAAGCUUGCUGCAUAAAGACUACAACAGCCAUCAUUUUUAUGGCCCCCUUCAAAGCUGUGGGCACCUGGACUGAGCAAUCUUGAACAAUGUCCAAAGACAUGGGUUGCAACUUACGUCAUUUCAGUGCACAUGACUCAUAUUUUACUAAGAGACAGAACCUGUCACAACCAGACUUUUCUGACAUUCUUUGCACAGAAAAACUUUGGGAGGAGAGGUAGUGUUAAAAAUUCAACCAAAUGAAAAAAACAAAAACAAACAAACAAACAAACAAAAAAAAACAUUGAAAUAGGCAAUAAGGGAAUUAUAGACAGAGAGAGAGAGCCAAGAAUUUAUUAACCAUCAACAGUUCUCCUUCCAAAGUCCCUCUUUAUCCUGUGUAUGAUAGUAUCAGUCUUCCUCAAGAACUGAAUAGGAAAAGGAAGUUGUGGCAAGAUGUCAUCCCUAGUUUUUUGGAGGAACUGUGAUAUUUAUGCUGGACUUUCCUUCUUGGUCUUGGGCUUUUUUUAUGUACAUUCUUACCCCAGUCUGCUGUCCUCCCCUGCUCCCAGGGCAGAGGUGAAAUUUGCUCCACAGGCCUCUGUCCAAUACCUUCGAGGCUGUGAUCCCUGAAAGAACUGCGUUGGGCUUUCAGCCCCUUCCCAACAUGUCAUUCUCAAAGCUCAGACAGUCUAGGCAGUGGGUACUUGGCUGUCUGCAAAAUCCAGCUCAUUCUUACUCAGGCUGAGGGUAGUGAAGCCACAUUUUCAGAACUGAAUGAGAAGCAUCAGCACAAGUCAGGAAAGUGAGUUUUAAAUUAACCUCCUACUCGUUUUUCCUGAAAGCUCUAAAGUGUUUUGGGGUUUGGUGAAUAACUGUUCUGCAUUCACCUUACUUAUGACCUUCAUGACUCUAUAAACUUAAGACAUAUUUCCUCUCAGUUUCCUCCUUUCCAAGCUGAGACCUUUUAGUUUUGUUUUGUAAGAUAGCUACUCUUUGCCCUCAAUCACACUAACGGCUCUUUCUUAUACCUCCUUUACCCUCUUGCUAAUUCUGAAAUAACUUCCACAUAACACUAAGACCAGAACUGUAAGCACUUCUCAUGAUGUUGUACAAGUCAUUAUAUCUCGGAUUUCUUCUAGCCCACUCUUUGAACAAGGUAAACAGAUUUUCCCUUCUCUUUUUCCCUCAUUUUGUUUCCUUACUGUGCAAUAGUAAACAAAAGGUACACAUCCCUAAUAGCAUUUUUAGCUCUCUCUACUUCUGUAGGUUUUUUUGUUAAUAUAGACCUGAUCUCCCUACCACUGACUUAUUUUAAGAGAGGCAUUAUAUUCACACAGUGUGUCUGCACAAUGUGUUUCCACAAUGUGUGUGAUAUGAUGCAUCCCUAUCUCAUCUGGCAUAACCAUAACUAUUGUUCUUAAAAAGGAAUUGGUGUGUGUUGUAUGCAGUUAUAACCAAAAUUAUCACAGAAUAUAAAUCUAUAAACCUACUAUGAAUUACCACUAUAAAUCCGUAAUACUUCUGAGAAUACAAGCAAGCAAACAAAAUGGUAACACAAGAAUAAAUAACAAGUAAAUGGAGUAGAUAUUUCUUUAAUAGCUUGCUACUCUUUGUAAGUUCUGUGGUCACUGAAAAAGGUUUUAAUGACUAUUUUUGGUCUUCCCCCCAGUUAUGAGACUCUUGUGAGGCUUCUACUCUUAUUAUUCAUGCAAUAGUUAUUUGCUAAAAAUCAGGCAUCAGUAUCUUGGUUGCUGCUUCUAUGAGUUUUCAGCGUAUAAAACCACAGAGCUGAAUUUGGGUAAACCUUCACUCAGGGAUGGGCUUCUUUUUCUUCUUCUUUUUUUUUACACAGCAUGAGCAAACAAACAUUCCUGCAACUAAUCUUGCCUGUAACUCAGCCAAACACAGUGGAAAUAAAAAGGCUCUAAUUUACUGUGUCCCAUAUCCCAUUUCAGAAGUAGAUCCAAAGCAAGUCUUCAGUUGAUAUGGCUACAAAAUUUUUUCAAAGUAUGUUUUUUACCAGCAUAGUGAAAUGGUCCUAUAAAUACUGUGAUGACAUAUGGAGCACUGGACAACAUUGGCAACUGCAACCAUACCCACAUGUUUUCCUGAACAGACAGAUGGAGCAUCUGGGCUUGUGGCGAGGUGAUUUAACUGCUUCCCAAUUCAACUGGCAUUUUCACAAAUCCUUGAGCAAUUGUCUAAUUAUGUGCAAAACUGGAAACACUUAGGAAAACACCUAGACUAAUCACCUCCUGAGUACUAUUCUAAAUUGCAGAAUUGGUGCUCCUGCUCUGUUGCAUCCAUAAGCAUGAACAGAAUAUUGAUUCUGCAAGACAUACGUCAUACCAAAACCAAAAAUAAGCAACAGAAUUAUCUGUCAGAGAAAUAAAUUUCUCAGUCUGUGCUACUAAGUCUAUACAUGCAGUCAUACUGUACUUUCUGCACAACCCAUUUCUGUUGAUGUUUUAUGGAUUAACAGUACACAGAUGAUGAGACUACUUCUGUUAUCUCAGAUAAUUCCUUUAACUGUGAGAUUCUUUAGCUCUUACAAGUUUCAUCAUCAUCUGACUCUUCUCUCUUUUGCUGUAGCCUUUUCUGAUUUUUCUCCUGAAUUUUCUUGCUUUUGAAGAGUUUUAGUAUCCCGAAAAGAUAUUCUUCCAUACGGGCUUUAAGAAAUGGAUGUCAGUAAAUCUCAUAUCUGCUUCACAUAUAUUAAGUUCAAAUUUUCCAGAUCCAUCUCAUUUUCCUCAAAGAUCAUAUGAUUUAUUUUUCUUCAUCAUCUCCAUUCUUGCUUCUAUUUGCAUAGGCAGCAUUAACAAGACCAGGAGUGAUGGCAGCCAAGUUGAUUUUCACAGACAGUUAUUAUCUUUAAGUUUAUUUAAGUUCUCCUUUGAUAUAGAUUUAUAAAUAGUUCAUUAUCUUUCAUGUGAAUCUGAAUCUAAAUGUUUAUUUCAAUAACAUUUUUUCAACAAGCUGGUAAGUAAUCAGUGUGAACUCUGAGUACAUAGAACAAUAACAGUGAAAAAAACAUUUCUAAGAACAUUAUGGAUUAGAUAUUCAUGUUUGCCUUGUGUAGAAAGGUAUCGUAAAACAUCCGUUGCAAGAUUCCAUAAGAAAUAACUACAACAUCUCUAGCACUUCUAUUUCUCAGCAUAACACUUCAUCAUCUUUGUAUCUACGUCAAAGCACUUGAUUAGUUUAAAGUCUGUCUGUCAUGAAACAGUUGAUGGUUAACAGCAUAAUUGGGUAUUUCUAUCUUUCUAGUGUUCCAAAAAUCCAUUUUUCUAUUAGAUCAUAUUUUGCUUUUGGCCAACAUUUAGUGAGAAAUGUCUUUGGAGUACUAGUUGAAUACACUUACUGAAAAAAAUUGCCUUUUUAUGCUUGCAGAGUUGUGAAGCAAAGAAUACAGUGCUGUUUCUGGAUAAUUGUUAAUAUGUGACCAGACAUUCUGCAAACCACAGAAAAUAAAUCUGCAUAAUAAAUGUAAAUCUAUUAGAGGGAAUUCUAAAGUGUUCUACUGUAGAAUACUGUCUUACAUAGCAUUUUUCCUAACUACUGGCUGUACUUGAAAGAGCAAGAAGCAGAGGUAGGCAAGCAGGAAAGGUUUAAAUGGUGAAAGAGUUUACAUAGAGACUGGAUGGUAUGGGAAUUGUUUUUUUUAGCUCUAAUCAAACAAGCUACUUCAAGAUGGAAUUAUGGCAGUUCUUUCAGAAAAUGAACAUGAAAUGCUUUGUUCUCCUUUGAAAUGUAUGCAAUGAAACAAUACUUCUGCAAAGAAAACUAGCAAAUUAUGCCUGGAUUUAUGCAUCUUUUUUUUUUUUUUUUUUUUUUUUUUUUUCCCACCUUGUGAUAAAAGCAGCUAAUGAAGAAAUGGAGAUAUAUUACAGAUAUAUUUCAAUACCUCAUGUUAAUUGAUAUCACAUUACUGAAGACUUUUUUUCUUAAGAGUCAAACAUUACAGGGAAUAUUAAAAAUUCUAAAACCUCAUAACAACACCGUGGAAUGGAGAAAAAAAAAGAUGGGAAUAAAUGGCUGGAAACAGUUACUGAAGGUUUUAACAAAUUAAGCUCGUUCUCCAUAAUGAUUAGUUAUAAAAAUGGUCUUCAGCUAGUCCUUCACAGGACGAGGGAAAAUGGCUCUAAACUUGAAGAGGGCAAAUUUAGACUAGAUAUUAGGAAAAAACUCUUUACUAUGAGGGUGGUGAGACAUUGGAACAGGUUGCCCAGAGUAGUUGUGAAUGCCCCCUUCUGGAAGCAUUCAAAGCCAGGCUGGAUGGGGCUUUGAGCAACCUGGUCUAGUGGGAGGUGUCCCUGCCUAUAGCAGGGGGUUGUAACUACAUGAUCUUAAACCCAACCCAAGCCCCUUCCAACCCAAACCAUUCUACAGAUCAUAAUUCAUAUUCAUGAUUAUAUGAUGCUGCCUGACAUAACUGAAAAUUUUCUUUGACAGAGCACUUAUCAAUGUUACAUAGACCUAUUCUAUUGUUUUUUAUUAUUCAUAUGAUCAGGGAUGGUGUACAGAGCUUCCUAUAUUAUAUUACUGUUUCAGAUAUGGUUCACAUGAGGAAAUUACUUAAAGUGAAAUACAAAAUAGUGAUAUGCCCUUUCCUAUAAUAUAUGAAUAAGGAUAGGAAAUGAAAUUAAUGAAUUGGAGUUAGGGAACAAAUAUGGGAAAAUGCUUUUCAUGCAAUGUGCAAGUAAAGAUUCAUUGUUCCAGACUUUUGAAAAUGCCAAAGUUUAUCUGCAGUAAAAAAGCACUGGAGUAAAUUUAUCAAAGAAAUAUUCAUCAAAUGCUCAUUUCCACACAGGUUUAGGAUAUCCAAAGGACAUUGAAAGCAGAAAAUGAGGAGGACAGCCUGGUCAGGCCUUGGUUAUUGGUUUAGAAUAAACUUUAGAAUAAACCAGCUUUCUACAGUCAAAGAGAUAGGAAUAAAACAAUGCAGUAUUCAAGAGUGAUUAAGUUCAUUUCACACAUUAGCAGUGUGCCACCUGAUACACACAAAUACAUUUAUACUAUAUUAAGAUUUGGACAUUUUUUGUUCACUAAUGCCAUCACUCCAUCAUAAAAGGCCAUUCUUUUAUGCUCUAUUGAAGCCAUGUUGGCUGUCUCUGAUCACCUCCUCAGCCUGUAUGCACCUUAAUAUAGCUAGCAGGAGGAUCUGUUCCAUGAUCUUCCUGGGUACAGACAUGAGGCUCAAGAGCGUGUAUUACUCUGGGUCUUCUUUUCUCUUUUUCUUAAAAAUGGGAGUGAUAUUUCAUAUUUUCCAGUAAGCAGAGACUUUGCCUGGCAACCAUGACUUUUCAAAUAUGAUGGAGAGUGGCUUGGCAAACACAGCAGCCAGUUCCUGGGGGAUUCAUGUUGUCUGGCUCCAUAGAUUUAUUAAUGAAGCAGUCUCAUGAGGCAGUUUCAUGUAGCAGUCUCAGAUUUGCUCUUACAGUGGAAGGGGUUUUGCUCCACCAACUCCCACUUAGAGAUGUAGGGAUGUGAGAGGCAUGGGAAGCCUGACUGUUAGUGAAGAUGGAGGCAAAGAACUUACUGAGUUCUUCAGCUUUCUCUGUAUCUGUUGCAAACAAUGUUCCCUAUUCAUUUACCAGUGGGGGUACACUCUCCUUGGUUAGUUUCUUCUGACCAAUGUAGAAUUCAUUCUUGUUAUUUUUCACCUUGCCAAGUUCAGAUACAUCUGUGCCUUGGCUUUCCUGAUCCCAUCUCUACAUGUCUGGCAUUCCUUUAUUCUUUUCAGGUCACCCAUCCCUUCUUCCAUGUUCUGUAUAUCACUUAGUAUUAGACUCAGUAAUUAUAUUCUAAAAAUGUCCCAUUUUAAUUUGCAAAGAAAGACCAUAUCAUAUAGUUUAUCCUGAUAUUACCUCAGCCUUUGAAUUUAUUUUUAGCCACAAGUAAAAGGGAGAUAGAGCAAAAUAAUGAAACAAAAAUAAUUGUCAGUACUAUAAAUGAAAAUCAUUAGCUAUCUGCACAUACCAUCUGAUUUCAGCCCAUUCCUUCAACACACACUUUCAUGUUGGAAAAAAAAAAAAAAAGAUAAACUUGCUUAUGAGAUUACGGUCUUUAAAUAAAAUUUUGCUAAAACAAAGAUUUCAUAAUAAAACAUACCUCAGGAAGCAGUGAGUAACUCUGUCAUAAAAGCAAAAAUAAUUACUAUUUAUUUUAUUCCCUUUCCCCCGUCGUUUAAAUGCUGCUGCCUUGCAUUACUGUAAUUUAAGGGGAUGGUUAUUAAUACACUUCACCUUUCUGCACCCCCCUAGCUGUACUUGACUGACUAUGAACAGUAAGAAUGUGUAUUUUUCUGCUGAUCUGAACCUAAGCAUAAAAAUCACAUCCAAGGAGAGAAAUAAGCAAGUGCAGGCAUUCUGCUAGUCUUCUGAAUACUGCUUAAUGGGGAAAAGUCAAUGGAAUUGGCUUUGCUUUACAGUUACAUUUGUUAUGGAUACAUAUUCCACUUGCAUAUCUGAAUCUGUGCUAUUUUUGUUUACAAUUCUUUAGAUAGAUUUGCCACAAAAAAUGAGCCAUUUUCAAAGUGUACUAAGUAGACUACCUUCUUUCAAAAAAAAUCAUUUACAUAUUUCAUUUCCUUAGGCAGAUUCCUGAGGCAAUAAGGCAAGCAUGGUUUACUUUCAAUACAGUACACACAAAUAUUGUAUAUCUAACAUACAAUAUUCUAGACAGUACCAAACGAUUCACCAAUAACCUAGUAUUUCAGUAUUGCUUACUCUAGAUUGCUUUGGUUCAAUAAUUUUAUAUUAAGUCAUUUUGAAAAGCUAAUUUGAAAGAGGGCAUAUAACAGUGACAGGUACACUGACAUAUCUCACAUUCUUUAUAAAACAUCCAUAGCAACUUUACAGCAAAUGCAUUAUUUUGUCAUUUCAUUGUCUUAUGCUGGCAAAAUACUGUAGCAGAGAAUAGAAGUUCUCACAUUCAAAAGAUAUACUCGUAGGAAUAAGAUUUAUGGCAGAAAAACUUUUUUCACUUAUUAUUUUCAUCUAGUAGCUAGCCAAAAAAAUUGUAUUUCACAUUUUUUUUCUACAUGUGUACAGCUAAUAACUUAUAAAAUCAGAAUCACUAAUGUAAAGUUUAAAACAGAUAUGUUUUCCACUAACUUAGGGAACAUCAAGAAAAUUCAUAUUAAAACACGUAUUUGUUAAUAUUCCUGUUCUCUACAUUUUCUGUUCAAAGUGAAGACUAUACAUACCUACAUAUGCAAGUGUAUCUACUUUGGAUCAUUUUCAUUGGUGCGCUCUCCUGAUAAGCAAGCUUGACAAUGGAACAUUUGCUCAUUUUCAGUGUGAGCAAAAGGCUAAAGGCUGGUAGGUAAUGGGACACUGAAUUUAGUUCCUUUGGCCUACAUCUCUCUCCUCCUCCCUAUUAAGAAAAAUAUCAUUUAGACAACAGUUUGUUACUAAGACUUUUUGCUGCUUAUGUUGUUUUAAGGACAACCUUUGCUUUACAAAUUACACGACACAUGCAUGCAUACUGCAUUUAUGAAUUCGUGAACUGGAAAUACAUCUCAGAAUUCCCUAUAAUGCCAUAAAAGCUAUGAGAAGAAAAGCUUCUGAACAGAUCUUUGUAAGAACUCUGCCAUUUUAUUCAUUCAUUCAGAACUCCUUCACCCCUUUAAAACUGAAUGCCACAGAAAUGUUUCUGGCAGCAGCAGCUUUCCUGCUGUUUUGCUCUCUUUGCAUUGUAAGAGUGUCAACUGACUUGAUGUUCUUGCCUCUCCUGGGCAGGCAGGGGUUUCUAUCCCUACUUUGAGAAAACCUUCUCUUUCUUACCUCCAUGGGAUGUAUUUUUAAUGGUCUAACAACACUCUUCCAUAAAAAAAACUUUGUUUCAAAUACUAGCUCUCUAAAUCGUAACAUAUCUUUUACAGUUAAUUCUAAUCAAAACUAACUGUAUAUGGCUGUAGCCAUGGCAUUUGAAAUGGGCAAUUACAGAAAUGCCCAGAGAUACACAGGCUUUCAUUUAGAUUUACAAGCCAACUAAAUGGGUGCCAAUGACUAUUUACAUAGUGCUUUUUAAAAAUUUAUUUGCAUUCCAUACUGAAACAGUUUACCACUGACCUCAGAGCUGCAUCUAGUUAAAAUAAAUAAAUAAAUGGAUAAAUAAUUAAAUAAAUAAGGCAUCCUUU